rnacentral:tRNA from 1 species
GUUGAAAUAACAAUAAAAUAAGACUGAAGAUCUAAAGGUCCCCGGUUCAAUCCCGGGUUUCGGCA